UACAGAGGGGGCAAGCGUUGUUCGGAAUUACUGGGCGUAAAGGGCGCGUAGGUGGUCUGCUAAGUCAGACGUGAAAUCCCUCAGCUUAACUGGGGAACUGCGUCUGAUACUGGCGGACUUGAGGACAGGAGAGGAACGCGGAAUUCCAGGUGUAGCGGUGAAAUGCGUAGAUAUCUGGAGGAACACCGGUGGCGAAGGCGGCGUUCUGGACUGUUUCUGACACUGAAAAACGAAAGCCAGGGGAGCAAACGGG
rnacentral:rRNA from 1 species